rnacentral:snoRNA from 1 species
CCCCUCUCAGAGUUGUACCUGGAGAGUUUCCAGUACUCUACUAGUCUCGGCUACGGGAGGGAGAGUCAAGCAGAGGCAUACCCAUUCCAUUAUUAGCUCGGGCAGUGGCUAGCGAGUGGAAGGCAAUCUGCUACAAGU